CAGCCGCCGCGGGAAAACAGAGGUUGCGAGCGUUAAUCGGAUUUACUGGGCGUAAAGCGUGCGUAAGCGGCUUUUUAAGUCGGAUGUGAAAUCCCUGAGCUUAACUUAGGAAUUGCAUUCGAUACUGGGAAGCUAGAGUAUGGGAGAGGAUGGUAGAAUUCCAGGUGUAGCGGUGAAAUGCGUAGAGAUCUGGAGGAAUACCGAUGGCGAAGGCAGCCAUCUGGCCUAAUACUGACGCUGAGGUACGAAAGCAUGGGGAGCAAACAGGAUUAGAUACCCCGGUAGUCCCUGUCUCUUAUAA
rnacentral:rRNA from 1 species